rnacentral:rRNA from 1 species
GAUGAACGCUGGCGGCGUGCCUAAUACAUGCAAGUCGAGCGAACAGACGAGGAGCUUGCUCCUCUGACGUUAGCGGCGGACGGGUGAGUAACACGUGGGUAACCUACCUAUAAGACUGGGAUAACUUCGGGAAACCGGAGCUAAUACCGGAUAAUAUAUUGAACCGCAUGGUUCAAUAGUGAAAGACGGUUUUGCUGUGACUUAUAGAUGGAUCCGCGCCGCAUUAGCUAGUUGGUAAGGUAACGGCUUACCAAGGCAACGAUGCUUAGCCGACCUGAGAGGGUGAUCGGCCACACUGGAACUGAGACACGGUCCACACUCCUACGGUGGGCAGCAGUAGGGAAUCUUCCGCAAUGGGCGAAAGCCUGACGGAGCAACGCCGCGUGAGUGAUGAAGGUCUUCGGAUCGUAAAACUCUGUUAUUAGGGAAGAACAAAUGUGUAAGUAACUAUGCACGUCUUGACGGUACCUAAUCAGAAAGCCACGGCUAACUACGUG